CUCAUCUCCAACAUCAUCCAGCUGCUGACUGGAGAGGAGUCGGAAAAUUUACAAAAACACAGUUCCAUAAUUACAGAAGGGACAAAGGAGGAGGAGCCAAUGCAGCUCCGCCCACUGGCAGCCUGUGAGUAUAAAGAUGGGAGCGAUGUUACAGCACAUACGGAAGCAACUUUAUGUUGUAAUAAUGAUGGGAAUCUCACAAACCCUGAUGUUUCUCCAGCGGAACAGCCCCCACCGGCCAAUGGGAUUAAAGAGGAGGCGGCUUCAUGUGAAGGGGGAAACCAAUCAGAUUGCAGCAUUAAUCCCCUUACAGAACAGAUACAGGGAACAGACACACCUACUCCUAUCAUGGGGCGGAGCCUGAACAGCUCGGCAGAUAAUUAUACAUCGAUUGUUAUUAAAAAAGAACCAGCUUCAUGGGAAGGGGAAAUUCACCUUGCAGAACAAAGGCAAGAAACAGCUACAUCAACUCUUAUGGGGCGGAGCCUGAAUAACAGCACAACUGAGCACAUACAGGGAACAGACACACCUACUCCUAUCAUGGGAUUCAGCCCCAUAAAAACAAAUAGCAAUAAAUACGAUGAAAAUGCAGAUACAUCCCCCGAUAAAUCCGGCAUAGCAACAAAUACUUUGUGCAACAAAUACAGCUGCAAUGAGUGCCACAAGCAUUUUACUGACAGGAGAAAAUUUGAUAAACAUCAAAGAGUUCACAAAACAAAGAAAACUUUUUCCUGUUCUGAGUGUGGGAAACGUUUUCUGUGUCCAUCAAACCUUGCUUGUCAUCACAGAACCCACACAGGGGAGAAACCAUUUUCAUGUUCUGAAUGUGGGAAAUGUUUUUCACAGCUAUUCAACCUUAAAAUUCAUUAUAAAACCCACACAGGGGAGAAACCAUAUUCUUGUUCUGAAUGUGGGAAAUGUUUUGCUAUUUUAUAUAGUCUUAGUGUCCAUCAAAGACGAUCCCACACAGGGGAGAAACCUUUUUCUUGUUCUGACUGUGGGAAGUGUUAUGCUACUUCAUCAGGGCUUACUCUCCAUCGACGAAGAAACCACACAGGGGAGAAACCUUUUUCUUGUUCUAUUUGUGGGAAAUGUUUUACCUUUUCAUCAGAACUUACUGUCCAUGGACGAACCCACACAAGGGAGAAACCUUUUUCUUGUUCUGAAUGUGGGAAAUGUUUUUCAAACCGAUCUCUCCUUAAAGAACAUCACAGAACCCACACAGGGGAGAAACCGUUUUCUUGUUCUGAAUGUGGGAAAUGUUUUUCCAUGCAAUCCUACCUUAAAAUUCAUUAUAGAACCCACACAGGGGAGAAACCUUUUUCUUGUUCUGAAUGUGGGAAAUGUUUUUCAGACCGAUCUUGCCUUAAAGCUCAUCACAGAACUCACACAGGGGAGAAACCAUUUUCUUGUUCUGUGUGUGGGAAAGGUUUUACACGUAACGGUAAUCUUAAGAUACAUUUUCAGAGCCACACAGGAGAAAAGCCAUCACAGCUACAGGCAGCAGAGCAGUGUGGGAAAGAGGGGCACUUCCAGGCCAGUCCCUCCCACAAGGAGCCAAUGGGAAUGUGGGAGGAAGCGAGUGACCCAGUGAUGGGGAAGAAGGAUAAAAAUGAGGAGCGGAAGGAGAGAAUCCUGAAUCUCACACUGGAGAUUAUCUAUCUGCUGACUGGAGAGGGCUACGUCAUCCCUAAGAAGAAGAGCCCAACUGUGGGUUUGGGGGCCCUGCAUGCCCCUGGCUCCGUCAUACAGAAGGAAAAUGACAAGAAGAUCCUGGAACUCAUCUCCAACAUCAUCCAGCUGCUGACUGGAGAGGUUGCCAUAAGGUGUGAGGAUGUUUCCAUCUAUUUUUCCUUGCAGGAGUCGGAAAAUUUACAAAAACACAGUUCCAUAAUUACAGAAGGGACAAAGGAGGAGGAGGCUGUGCAGCUCCACCCACUGGCCUGUGAGUAUAAAGAUGGGAGCGAUGUUACAGCACAUACGGAAGCAACUUUAUGUUGUAAUAAUGAUGGGAAUCUCACAAACCCUGAUGUUUCUCCAGCGGAACAGCCCACACCGGCCAAUGGGAUUAAAGAGGAGGCGGCUUCAUGUGAAGGGGGAAACCAAUCAGAUUGCAGCAUUAAUCCCCUUACAGACCAGAUACAGGGAACAGACACACCUACUCCUAUCAUGGGGCGGAGCCUGAAUAACAGCUUGGCAGAUAAUUAUACAUCGAUUGUUAUUAAAAAAGAACCAGCUUCAUGGGAAGGGGAAAUUCACCUUGCAGAACAAAGGCAAGAAACAGCUACAUCAACUCUUAUGGGGCGGAGCCUGAAUAACAGCACAACUGAGCACAUACAGGGAACAGACACACCUACUCCUAUCAUGGGAUUCAGCCCCAUAAAAACAAAUAGCAAUAAAUACGAUGAAAAUGCAGAUACAUCCCCCGAUAAAUCCGGCAUAGCAACAAAUACUUUGUGCAACAAAUACAGCUGCAAUGAGUGCCACAAGCAUUUUACUGAUAAGAGAAAAUUUGAUAAACAUCAAAGAGUCCACAAAACAAAGAAAACUUUUUCCUGUUCUGAGUGUGGGAAACGUUUUCUGUGUCCAUCAAACCUUGCUCGUCAUCACAGAACCCACACAGGGGAGAAACCAUUUUCAUGUUCUGAAUGUGGGAAAUGUUUCUCAAACCAAUCACUCCUUAAAGUUCAUCAUAGAACCCACACAGGGGAGAAACCAUUUUCAUGUUCUAAAUGUGGGAAAUGUUUUUCACAGCUAUCCAACCUUAAAAUUCAUUAUAAAACCCACACAGGGGAGAAACCAUAUUCUUGUUCUGAAUGUGGGAAAUGUUUUGCUAUUUUAUAUAGUCUUAAUGCCCAUCAAAGACGAUUCCACACAGGGGAGAAACCUUUUUCUUGUUCUGACUGUGGGAAGUGUUAUGCUACUUCAUCAGGGCUUACUACCCAUCGACGAAGAAACCACACAGGGGAGAAACCUUUUUCUUGUUCUAUUUGUGGGAAAUGUUUUACCUUUUCAUCAGAACUUACUGUCCAUGGACGAACCCACACAAGGGAGAAACCUUUUUCUUGUUCUGAAUGUGGGAAAUGUUUUUCAAACCGAUCUUUCCUUAAAGAACAUCACAGAACCCACACAGGGGAGAAACUGUUUUCUUGUUCUGAAUGUGGGAAAUGUUUUUCCUCGCAAUCCUGCCUUAAAAUUCAUUAUAGAACCCACACAGGGGAGAAACCUUUUUCUUGUUCUGAAUGUGGGAAAUGUUUUUCAGACCGAUCUUGCCUUAAACGUCAUCACAGAACUCACACAGGGGAGAAACGAUUUUCUUGUUCUGUGUGUGGGAAAGGUUUUACACGUAACGGUAAUCUUAAGAUACAUUUUCAGAGCCACACAGGAGAAAAACCAUAGGCUUGUUGUCAUCGUUUGACAAAUUGUCAUCAGGCAAAUAUUUCACAGCUAUCCAACCUUAAAAUUCAUUAUAAAACCCACACAGGGGAGAAACCAUAUUCUUGUUCUGAAUGUGGGAAAUGUUUUGCUAUUUUAUAUAGUCUUAAUUCCCAUCAAAGACGAUUAUAUCAAUGUGCCUUUUGUUAAAUGUUUUGUCAGUUCAUCAGAAUUUACUGUAUAUUUGCAACAGAUCUGCACAGGAGAGAAGCCAUUUUCCUAUACUGAAUGUGGGAAAUGUUUUACUUGUAACAGUAAUCUUAAAAUACAUUUUUAGAGUCACAAAGGGGGAAAACCCGUAAGCUUUUUAAGUGGAUGAAAUGGUUUACAAAUAAGACAUCAGGCAACAUUUCUUUCCCAUUGAUCCUACUAUGUAUGUUGACAUUUACAGAGGAGAAGAACAUCUUUAUAUACAACUGAAUGUAUCCAUAGGACAAUCCUUAGACCAAUCAUGUUCAGCUGAAGACUCCGGGGCCUGAUGGACACAGGUGAUGCUAAGUCAGGUGCCUUAUAAUGCUCCUCCCACGGCACUGGCUCCCCAUUGGGAACUGAGGGACCUCAGUUCAUGGAAAGUGGAAUAAAUCUCUGCCUCUCCUCAACCCACAAUAUGCUUCUUACUGUAUAAAAGUUUCUUUAUAUUAAAUCUAUUUUGUGAAAUCCCUUUCCCAGG